rnacentral:lncRNA from 1 species
CUGCUGAUUGGUUAAAAAAACGUGGGCUUCAUCUUUCGGUUUGCCCGGUGUUUCUUCGACCUUUCCCAUAUCGAAACCGAGAAAUCUGCUCAGAAAAAUCCUUUCCAACGUGUCUUUCGUCCCGAUUUCGUUGGCGAUGGUCGUCUCCUCCACUCUGUGACGGCGGUGAAUCGUUGGUGCUGGUCGUAUCCUCCGCUCCUUUUUUGCCAAAUCGACGGAACGAUGGUUUUUGCAUGUCCACCAAAUUCCCAGAUAAAUUCUCACCUACUCCGUUCACUGGUUUCUGCAUGUCGGUUUCUUCCCUUGAUUUGCUCAAUCAGAGCAUCUGAAAUAGGUUAUGGUUGGAAGAUUUAGUUUGUCAUCGGUUUCAAUCUGUUUUAUGUUCUAUAUCGGUUUAUAUAUCUGAAAUAGGCUUGAUGAUGUGUUGAUGUUAUGAAAGAUGUGUUGAUGUUAUUUGAAUGAUUCAGUAAUUGAACUAGAAUUGUUAUAAGUUUUGAAUAUAUUCGAUAGAAUUUUGAACAUGUUCGAUGGUCUUAACCUGUUCGAUGGUUUUUUGUUUGACGGUGUUAAAGUUUUGAAAUGCAAAGGUUGAUAAAACUUUGUAUUUUUUUUUAUGCAGAACUAGCUAUUGAGGAAGGUGAACCGCAGGCUAGUCUGUUCACACACUUCUCACCAUAAAUGUUCAAAUGAUGCCUAGUGACAAAGGUAUGUAUUCAACUCACAUCUUCUCUCAUUAAUACCUAGUUAGUUUUAGAAAAUAGUUGGUUAGAGAUGGUGUUUAGGGUAAUAAAUGAUGGAAUGAUUUUAGUUGGUGUGAAGUUGGAUGUAAAGCAUGGUUUAGAGUUAGAUAAAUGUCUUCUCAAUGAGCUUCAAUGCUCUUUUGGUUCACGUAGAUAGAUAGAAAAAAUAGGUUGCUUGAGUGCUAUUUGCUUCAAUGCUUCAUCUACUUCUCUUCAAUGCAUCUUCAAUGCUUGUCUUCCUUCUUUGCUUUUUAUUAAUGCAGAAGACUCUGUUAUUCUCAUUCUCCUUAACUCUAUGUUCUUCUUCUCAUUCUGGUUAUUUCUUCUAAGACUCUUUUCUGUUAUUCUCAUUCUCUUUCUCCUUAUUUGUUUCAUAAGCUCUCAUCUAUUUGCUUCUUCUAUCUCUUUCCAAAUGGAGUAUUGUUCUCAUACUCCUUUUAUGUCUGAGUGUGUUUAUGUUAAGAAUGUUAAUUUCUAUUUUACGUUAAGAAUGUGUUUAUGUUAUAAUCAAAUUAUUAUCUUUGUUUUAAAUUAUUUUUUUUUUUAAAAAAUUUGCUUAAGAAACCUUAUCUAGGUUUUACCAAUGGACCAUUAUAAAUAAGAAGGUUCUUAAUCUAAACUCUUAUUCCAAAAUUAAUAAUAAAAAAAAUAUAAGAACCCUUAAUGGGGUGUUAGCGAUAAUGAUGGUC